rnacentral:lncRNA from 1 species
UGUAUUAAUCAAAAAAAUUAUUUUGUAAAACAAUAAUAGUAAGAGAAAUGUUGCAUAAUUUAGAUAUUUUUUUUCUUGGCAGACCAUAAUAUAGGAUAAUAUUCUAGAUGUGAACAGAUUAAAAAAUUAUUUAUUUUAUUUUAUUUUCAUUUUUACCAGUUUUUUAUUUCACAUGCUUAUUUAUGCUAAGACGAUGAUGAUAUGCAUUACAGAAAAUGAUGAUCAGAAUUCGUCAUUUAGGUGACGCACAAUUUCGAUAUUUAAGAAUUUGUCAAGAGUAAAUUGUUUCAACAUUAAUUGUGGUUAAUGAGAAAAAUAGAAGAGAAUUAAUUUGUUGGUCAACGCUUUGAGUCUAUUGAUCACAGCAUGAGUGGGUUGAGAGUCUCUUGGUAAGUUGGAGUCCCGUCUUCUCUUCUAUCCUUCAUUAACCCAUGUGGUCUUUAAUCUAGAACAAAACUUGUCAAUGUGUUACAAAAAAAGAAGAACAAAACUUGUCUUUUCCUCCACCUAAGAAGAGAAUCUGUUUUACCAAAAAAGACGAAGAAAAGAUUCUUUGUGAAAGUUGAAAUCGAUCUCUUCUUCACUUUUCAUAUAUCUUCUUCAGUUUACUUCGAUUUUUGUGAUAAUCAUAGAUUAUUCAUAGCUCUUUAUUCACUCUUAUUCUUUAGUUGAAAUUGUGUUCCCAGCUUAUUGCCCUUCGAUUUUCAAAGGAGCCGCUUAAUUCGAGGAAGAGUCAUUCCUCUCUAAAAAAAAGGAAAACAAAGAAGUUCUAUAAAAGAAGAUAAAUUAGUUCGGAGAGUUAAAAAUUAUCGCUUACUCA